rnacentral:rRNA from 1 species
GUGCUAAGGUAGCAUAAUCAUUUGCUACUUAAUUGGUAGCUGGAAUGAAAGGUUAAACUAGCUUACUCAGUUUGUUGUGUUUUGUAAGAAAUUAAAGUCGAGGUAAGAAUUCUUUGAUCUGCUAGGGGACGAUAAGACCCUAGAAGCUUAACAAUAAGAGUAUUUAUUAGUUAUAAAAAUUAAUUUGUUUUACUGGGGCGGUAAAGGUAUAUAAACUAUUAGUGUAUUGAUAGAUCCUUAAAAUAAAGAUAAAACGGGAAAGUUACUCUAGGGGUAACAGUGCAAUAUUUUUGGAGAGAUCAUAUCGAUAAAAAUGUUUGCAACCUCGAUGUUGAAUUAAGAUGUCUACGUGAAGCAGGAGGUACGUGAGAGGGUU